rnacentral:pre_miRNA from 1 species
GGCGAUUGUCGGUAUGGUCGCUUUUUCACAAAAAAAUUGGUUACCAACAAGCGAAGUGACUAGACCGAACACUCGUGCU